AAGCUUUUCCAAAACACGGGAAAAUGAUGCCUUUUCUGAGAAAAUGUCUUACACUUUUUUCCGGUAAGACAUUUUCCAAUCGAUUUUCCCUUCACAUCCCAACACUUUGCUAAACUUUCUCCCCUUUCCUCUUCCGCUUCCCCUCCCCUUGGGUUGCAAUGCAGUGCCAUUGCCAGGUACCCUCCUUUAUAUUCUCUCUAGUCUACCCAAUUUUAUCUAUUCGAUGAUUCUGAUUUUUGUUAUCUAUCUUUCUUUUUUUUCAAUCUCUUAGCAAAUUUGCGUGAUCGAUCCAAGAAUUAUUUAUCCUGUUUAAGCAGUACAACUAGUGAAGUAGAAAUUUGCAGAUUGCCCCUAUUAUCACCCUCAUUGAUAUGCAUUUCUUUUGAGUUGACCUCCGUUCUUGUUUUUAUUUUAAUCUUUUAAUUCUUUUUCUUGAUGUUCUCGUUUUACUGUAGUUGAUUUGGGUAAAUGUUAUGGUUAGGCUUGAGUGGUGUAAUCCCUACCCAGAAAUCAACAUUUCCUGUAGUCCUUAUAUAAUUGAAGAGUAGAAAGGAACGAACAGAGCAUCCUUGGUUUUAGUCUUACAGAUUCUUGUCAAAUGCCCAUUGACACGCUGCCAUCCAUAACCUAAAGUAUGAGAGCAAGUAGGUCUUCCUUUAGCACUAGCGAUGGGCAUGAAGAAGUUCAUUUUCACAGUGCUGCUUAUAUUUCAAAUUGGGACGAUUAUGAUAUAUGAGCAAAUAAACCUAUGAUAUUUUCUGACCAAUUGUGAUUGUAUAACAUUUUCAUGUGUGUUUUAUUGUGCACUAAUUGGCUUGUAAGAUUGGUUUAUAUGAUGCAAAGUAAUUGAACCUUUGUCUAUUCAGUUGAAGAAUAAUCUUUCACAAAGUGAUGUAUACAAGAUGGCUGAUUAGGUUGUGAAAAGUUAUAUCGACUUUGUUCACUUGUAAUCUUGGUUUACAUGUUCAUAGGUUAGAGAAUUUGUAUUCUGAAGCAUAGGGUUUUGUGAGGAGUAAUGUAAUUUUGUUACAGGCUUUAUUAAUAUAGAUGUAAUGUAAUUCAGCUGAUGCCAAAGAAGAUGGUUCAAAUUUGAGCUGGUUUUGCAUCUUCAUUUUAAUUCUGUUGGCAAUAAUAGAUGGUCCCGUUUACCCAUUUUCAAAUAGAAUGGAAGGUUAUUUGACCCUUUUUCAAAAAAAAUUAUUUUUUCUCUAAUUGAUAUGGAAUCUUUUACUGUGCAUUUUUCGAAUGAAGAACAAGCAGAGCCAUUACCAAAGAAGCAUAGGAAAUACUAAGGCCAUUGAAGUUGGGAUUUUAAGUAUGCCAUCUUUCAUUGGUCACUUACAGCAAGAUGAUGAUGCUAAUAUGGAAAUGCUCCUUUGCUUGUUGAUACAACCUGUGUAUUAAUGGAUUUUUGUAAAUUUUUUCCCUUUUCCUUGUGCAAGUGCCUUGUGUAACAUGUUUAUAUUUAUGUAUGUAUAUGUACAUGUAAAAAAAAAUUGUGAAUUCCGUCAUAAUGUUGUAGUUUGAUUUACACAUUUUGUUUAGUGAAUUUAGCUAAACAAUUAAAUGAAAAGAAAGUCAAAUAUAUGUUUGUUUCAUUUAAAAUAACUUUUUUGAAAUAUUUUCAAGAAAGUGAAUUUAGCUAAACAAUUAAAAGACAAGAAAAAUUCAAAUGUAUGUUUGUUUCGUUUAUAAUAGCUUUUUUGAAAUAUUUCCAGAGAAUCUACCAAACAACAGAAAAUAUUAGUUUUUUUCCAGAAAAGUAAGUCAUUUUCCAAAAAUCAUUUUCCGGAAGCCAUUUUCAAUCAAACAAACGAAGCCUUAGUAUUAUUUCUGUCAUUUGUUUUUUGUGUUUCUUGAGUAUUAGUUAUUUUCUUAUUAGACAUGGUUAGUUUUUAUUUCACUUUAUUUUUAGUAUCAAGUUAUCAUUGUUUUUAUCAUGUUACUUGUUGGUGAAUUUAUUCUUGGGUUAGUUGCUCAAUAUUGUGGUUUAGGUUUUCACUUUGUAUCGGUCUCUGUCAUCUAUUGGACUUAUUGUUUAUUUUUUAUUUUGUUUUUACUUUUUUACUUUUCUUUUAGCAGUUAUUCAAUUAUUUUGCCGAUCAAUGUUCAAUCUUAUAAUUUCAUUUUAGUUUGAUUCAAUUUUCGAUUUGAUUAAGUUUUAUGAUGUUUAGUUGUGUUUUGACUUAGUUCUUAUGCUGACAUUUAGCUAUUAUUUAUUCUUUUUAGGCAUUAUGAUGAACACUAGGAGCAAGUCCAAGGUCGUCGUUUCCACUUCAAAAAAGCGGAAGACUCCAGCACGACAUCAUCAUCGAGUGCUUUCGUUGAUGCCCGUCACCCCUAUCUCUAAUUUCCACAAGGUCCCGAGGAGGAUUUAUAUCAGCAUCUUCGACUGAGGCCAUUCGGAUUAGGUCGUUGUAUUGAUUGGGCUGCUUUAGAUCAUAUACAGUUAGCAAAUCAUGUCAGCUCCAUCAUUGCUACACCUCCUUAAGACUGGUUUUUUUCCAUUAUCGAGCCCACAUACUCGGAGCUGACUUUAGAGUUUUGCUUGGCAUUUAUCGUACAGCAGGUGAUGACGACCAAUGACGAGCUGAGAACCAUUACCUUUAGACUCGGAGGUAUGGCACGACAUAUGAGUGUCCCAGAGUUCGGAGUUGCAUUGGGACUUUACACUGCAGAGAUUAUGAGUGCCGAGGGGUUCCUUCUAUUAUACUAGCACAUCCACUACUCGUCAUCUCUUUGCUGCGUAGAUCUUACGGUGAGCAUGACGUCUUAUGACCCGAGUCGGUCAAAGGAAACUUCUCUUCCUCUGGCCUUACGCUACAUUCAUACCAUCUUGGCUCAUACAAUGAUCGGUAGAAGGGAGAGCACUGGAGUCAUCGGUACAACCGAUGCAUUUUUUGUGGAGACUGGCCACGGGACGCACCUUUGAUCUCGCCUAUUUUAUCGCCGUCGUUGUUCGUCAUCAGACAGAGCGCAAUAGGAGGGGACCCAUAUAUUUUAAAAUCAAAAUACCCAUUAAUUAAUCACAAACCAAACCAUUACCACCCUUAGAAACUUUUAUAUUUCAAUUAUUUAGAAAAGUUUCAGAUGAAAAGCACAAGAGAUUGAAAUACCAUUCCACGAAUAAGAGUCAAUAUCCAUAAUAAUCGCACUCCUUUUCACCUGAGAAGCAUCAUGGCAAUGAGAAGUCCAAAGUCCCAACAUUCCUCCCAUGUUCCAACCUUGAUCCUCCUCCUAAUCAGCCUUCUCAGGCGUUAUUUAAUAAUGAUAACGACAUACUAUGUCAGAGACAGGUAACUCGACUUAAUUCUGCAAUUUAAUUGAACCAUAAAACAACCCUAAAGGUACCUCUAGGAAGUUCUCCUAAGCAUGUGAAUUCCGUGAGUGAACGCUUAAUGUGCACGCUCCCUAAUCACCUCAAGAUCCAUUUCAGUAGGGUCGAUUGCCUGGAUUUCAUAAUGGAUGGCCUUCAAUUCCCUUCGAAACCUGUCAUUUGAUGUUGCACAGAGCAUCUUGGAACGGAUCCUCGAAGCAGAAGGAGACCUGCAGAAGAACAAAGUGAAACCAAAGCGAUGAGCAAAAAAACUCCAACGAGUCGAUGACUGGAAACUAAAACUAAUUCCAUGAUUUUCACACUCAAGAACUUGAGUUUAUGAACCUUAAAGAGAAAGUAAAGAAAAAUACUUGACUUAAUAUUACAAAGUUUUGUACUUCAAAUGCAGCCCAAAUUAAUGGAAUGGGAUUACUUUGCAAUUGAAAGAAGAGGAUUUAUAUCAGCAUAUUCAACUGAGGCCAUUCGGAUUAGGUCAUUGUAUUGAUUGGGCCACUUUAGAGCAUGUAUAGUUAGCUAAUCAUGUCAGCACCAUCAUUGCUACACCUCCUUGAGACUGGUUUUUUUCUAUUAUCGAGCCCACAUACUUGGAGCUGACUUUAGAGUUUUGUUUGGCAUUUAUCCUACAGCAGGUGAUGACGACCAAUGACGAGCUGGAACCAUUACCUUCAGACUCGGUGGUAUGGCGCGACAUAUGAGUGUCCCAGAGUUCGGAGCUACAUUGGGACUUUACCCUAUAGAGUUUAUGAGUGCAGAUCUGUCAGCAGCUCCAUAUAUGCUCUCCUGCACCGGCGACUCGCGGUACUAAUGCCUCUAACGAUGAGGAUAAUUGAUUUUAUUUGUUUUAUUUUUAUCUUUAUCUUUAUUUUUGUUUUUAGUUGUUUUAUUUCUAUUUUCUUAGACUUUUUUUUUAUCUUUUGAACUAUAUUUUUAUUUUUAUGGUUGCUUUUAAUUGAGUUGUAACCUUUUAAUCUUCUUCACUAUUUGUGUUUAUAUUCUUAUUAGUUUGCUCAAAAUCAUGCACUAAAUUUAGAUUUGUUUGCAAUUCUACUUUUCACCAUUCUGGUGAUUUCUUCCAAUAUUCAGGGCAGUUUCAAUUUUCUCCCUCUCUUAUGGUAUUCUGCUUAUACUGUGAUUAUAUCUGUUUGUACUUUGAGGACGAUGUACAUCUUAAGUGUGGAGAAGUUUUUUAUAUAAUCAUUAGAAAGUCAUUGAAUUAUGUCUUGUAUUUAAGAACUUUUCUCAUGCUUACAUUAGAAUAAAUUUUUGUCGAUUUGGGAUUUUUGUUUAUGUGUUUUGGAUUAAUUUGUAGAUAUUUGUGAAUUGGUUGAUUUGAACUUUAAGACAUGAGAGAAUCAAGCACGAUAAGUUAUUUUUUAGAAUUAAAAAAUUUUUAAGUUGUUUCUCUAAAUUGAAGUUUUAUCUUGAAGUUUGAGAUUUGCAAGUUUGACAUCAAAAUCAUAAUUUUUGGUGAGAUUUUGAACUUUUAGAGCAUAUAUUUUUCGUGUUUAUUCUAUUAUUGGUUAUGAGUAUGUCAACUUGAUUUUUUAUUUUAGAACUUGCUUCUAUUAUGCAUGUCGAGACCACACCUUUGAUUUGAUAUACUAAGAUGAUAAAAGCAAUUAGGUUUUAACCCACUUAUCCUAUAAAAAGCCUACCUUUUUAAUUGACCCUUAGUGGACCCCGUUGAGUCUAACACACCAUUUCUUGAUUAACCCAUUAAUGUUAACCCAAAACUCAUUUUCUUCUUCCACUUUUUCCCCGUUUUAUUGAUUCAUUUUUUAUCGAGAUUUGAUUUGGUUAGUUGCCUAACUAUGCUAUUUUGUUUUAUUUGCUGAAUUAUUUCUUAUUGUUUUAGAAAGAAAAAAAUCGAAAAAAAUAGAAAAAAAUAUUUAUUUAUCGAUUAUUAUUUAGUUCCAUGUUGAUUGAGCUUAAAUAGUUGAAUUCAUAUUUUGAAAAGAAGCUCGUUUUUAUUCUUGAAUAGUUCUUGAUUGGUACACUUAUUUUUAAUUCAGCAUUUGUUUAUUUUUUCUAGUUUAGUAAUUUAUCAACUCAAUCUCGAUUAUAACCAACUUUUCUAGCCUUUAUCCAUACCCUUAACCUAAGCCCCAUUACAACCUCUUAAAGACCUUUUGAUUAGUGUGUCAUAUCAUUUUAUGGUGGUGGAGAUUUGAUUUUCAAGCAAGCCUAUGGUAAUGACAUUUAUUGUUCGACUUUCGCAUGCAUAUUGUUGAACCUUAAACACUUUAAGUACUUGAGUGAAUCUUUAAUGAGGAUGUCAAAUCUUUAAUUUUGAAUUAAAGGUAACUACUUAAAUAAGGGAAGACACCUAUGUUUUCGUGUUUAAAAAUGUUAGCUUGGAUUGUUUGAGACUUUAAUGCCCUUUUAGUUGACUUGCCAAUGCAUGAUUAUUUGUGAAUUAUUUUGAGACAAUAUUGAUGAGAAUUACAAGUUGAGAAAUAUUAACUUAAAUGUGAGUUGAGGAUUUUGUUUGAGGACAAGCAAACGCUUAAGUGUGGGGAUAUUUGGUAAAUGAUAAAACUAACAUAUUUUAAUCACAUUCUUAAUGCGUUGUUGGAUGAUUAUUUAUGCAAAUUGGUGAAUUUGAUACUCCUAGUCUUUUUAAUUCAUGUUUUUAUACUUAGGUGAGCAUUUGGCAGCAAAAUAAGCGAAAAACGGAAAGAAAAAAAAAGUAGAUUUUAAGAGCCACGCGGGCUGGGCACACGCCCAUGUUACCCAUACGGGUUGGACACAUGCCCAUGUGCCAGCACGUGUCAAUUUCACACCCUGCUUCCCAAAUACGUGGAAAUACACAAUUUUUAGGCUUUAUGAGUAUUCUAAAGUCUAUAAAUACCAAUUAGAAGAAGAGACGUAGGACCCAUUAAAGAAGAUCAAAGAAAACACUUGAAGAACACCAUCGAAGCCAACUCGAAAGCGGAUCUCCAUCAAGAUUGAAGAUCUCCUUUUAAUUUCUUUUGAAAUUUUUAUUGGUUUCUUUGUUUCUUAUGGUUUUUUUGACUUUGAGAUUUUUUAUUCAGGAUUAUGACCUAAUUCCCUAGAUACUUAGGGAUGAUGAAACCUAUGACAAAUUCUAUUAUUUAAUUUCUAUUUUACAUGAUAAAUAUUUUAUUCUUGUUCUCAAUUAUGUGUGUUUAUUUCUUAUUUUAAUAUUUCUAGGAUAUUAAUUCAUGUUUAAUGUGUUUAAUUCAGUGAAGCAAAAGUCCUUGUUUAAGAGUAGAUUUAACAUAAUUGAGUGGAGUUGCAUGCAAUCCUAGAAAUAGGAUGACAUAAAUCUGCUGGAUUAGAGUCAAAUCUAAUAGGAAAAUCCAUAAAUCGAGUUAAUGGGACAAUAUGAGUUUUAAUUAGAAAGAGAUUUCAAUUAAUCAACCUAGAGUCAAUUGUUUUUACUCUCAAAAAAGAUACUAGCAUAAUUUAGGGAUUUUUACAGAUGAAGACACCAAGUGAAUAAAUCGUUUAAGUCAGAUUAAUAAUAAUAAAAUGAGUCUAAGUGGAUUCUUUCCUGGGUAUUGUCUCUCUCAUUGGUUAAUAUUUGAUUAUUUACUUGUUUCAUUCUCUGUUGCGUUCUUAGUUAAAUUAGUUUAGUAAUUUUAGCUUUAAAACCUAUCACUCCAAAUUGUCGACUGAAUAAUAAGAAAACGGUAAUUACUAAUACUUUUAGUCCUUGUGGAUACGAUAUUUUUACUCACCGUAGCUAUGCUAUUAUUCUAUAGGUGCGUUUGCAUUUGUCGUAUUUAUAGUUAAUUUUGUGACUAUCAGUGAGCUCAACUUCUUUUUGGGGCUCCAAAUCAAGCAAAAUCAUUAUGGCAUCUUCAUCAAUCAAGCCAAAUACAUCAAGGAAAUGCUCAAGAAAUUUAAAAUUGAGGACUUGAAACCUCAAUCAACACCAAUGAGCACUUUAGCAAAGCUUGAUAAAGAUAAAUGAGGUAAAUGUGUUGACACUAAACUUUAUAGGUCUAUGAUAGGAUCAUUGUUUUAUCUUACCGCAAGUAGACCAGAUAUAAUGUUUAGUGUUUAUUUAUGCUCUCGAUUUCAAUCAUCUCCUAAUGAGUCACAUUUACAAGUCAUUAAGAGAAUUUUUAAGUACCUUAAAGACACUCCAAACCUAGGAAUUUGGUAUCCCAAAGAUUCAUCAUUUAGUUUGCAUGCUUACUCCGAUGUAGAUUUUGAAGGAUGCAAGUUAGAUAGAAAAAGCACUUCAAAAACAUGUCAAUUCUUAGGAAUCAUGUUUGUUUCUUGGUUCUCUAAGAAACAAAAUAGUGUAGCUUUGUCCACAACCGAAGCGGAAUAUAUUGUCGUAGGCAGUUGUUGUGCUCAAAUUCUUUGGAUUAAGCAACAAUUAGUUGACUAUGGAAUUGAUAUGGAUCACAUUCCUAUAAGGUGUGACAACACUAGUGCUAGUUACUUUACCAAAAAUCUCAUCCAACACUUUAGAACAAAGCACAUAGAAAUAAGACACCAUUUCAUUAGAGAUCAUGUGCAAAAAGGUGACAUAGUACUAGAGUUUGUAGAUACGUUGCAUCAACUAGUCGAUAUUUUUACAAAGCCUUUAGAUAAGGAGAGAUUUUGGAUAAUUAGGGGAGAGUUAGGACUAAUGAACAUGCCUUCAUAAGCUUAUUGUAUAAUCUUUUUGACAUUCUUGGACACUUAUUUUGUUCUAUGCAUGCUUUGUGUACAUUACUCGACUAUACUUGUAAACUUGUAAAUUCAUUAUUUCUUUUAUUUUUUAUUUUUAUUUUUUAUUGUUGAAAUGUUGUUACUAUGUGAUACAAUUAAGUUAGUUAGUAUUUUAAAUCAUAGAUAAAAAUUUGAGAAUGUUAGUAAAUGUACUUUUCACCUUUUGAUUACAUUCAAGCAUGUUUUCUUGAUUUUCUUGUAGAUAUUUGUUUAAACAUGGUAUUAUAUGGUUUUACAUAUGUUAUCUGUUUGUUUUUGUACCUUUAUUCAAGUAUUUUUUUCAAUUUUCUUUUGUUUUUAUUUUUAUUCUUAUGUCUCAAAAUGUUUAAGUAUUGUGCACUUAUUCCCCUAGAUUUUCAAGCAUGCAUUCUUUUUUAUAUUACAAAAAGGGGGAGAAAAAUGUAAAUUUUGCAAAAUAUAAUUUUCAACUUAAUCUUAAAGCCAAAUUCUUUAAGUUGGAAAUUUAAAUGAAAUGACGUAUAAAAUAUUUUUUUCAAAAAAAGAGCUUAUUUUGAAAAUAAUGUUUAAGAUAAGGGGAGUUAUCAAAUUUUUUUCAAAAUGUUUUUGUUAUAUCAAAAAGGGGGAGAUUGUUAGCUUUAGUUUUUUGAUAUAACAAAAAGUAUAUUAAAAAUUCUCUACUUAAAUCUGCAAAAAUUGUUUAUAAGCCCUUAAAAUUAUUUCCAAAGUGUUGGACAAAUAAAUUGUUAAAAGGCCUUGAUUAUUUUUUUUAACAAGUUUUUGAAGUCUGAAGGACUUCUACCGAUACAUAGGUGGAUAAGUAUCGGUAGAACUCAAGAUGAAAAGACCUUGAAAAGGCUACAGAAUUCUACAGAUAGAAAUGGGAGUUCGACUGAAACAACUCGGAUUUCUAUCGAUAAAACACACUCUAGUAAGCAAGGUAGUUUUGGCUUGGGACUUCUAUCGAUACCCUGGUCCGAUCCACCGAUACAAUCAAGUGCUACUGAUACCUUGAAGGCUUCUAUCGAAACAAGUCAACUCAAUAGGCAAAGUUCAGCAUCUCCUGCAUUUCUACUAAUACCUUGAGGACUUCUACUGAAACAAGUCAAGUCAGUAGCCAAAGUUCAAUUUCCUCUGCACUUCUACCAAUACUUUGAUGGGUUCUAUCGAUACCAAAUGAAACCCUCAAAGUUCUACCAGUACAAGAUAACUUAUACCGAUAGAACGAGCCCAACAAUCAUAUUUUGGAAAGACUUCUACCGAUACAAAUUUCCUUCUACCGAUACAACGAAGCUGCAGACUACAUUUAAUGCUGAUUUUUAUUGCUGCAAUGGCUCCAUUUUGUUUCUAACGGCUACAAACGUCCAUAAUGUUGUUAGAGGACUUAAAUACAAGGUCAAGGCUCCUCAUUGAAGUCAACAAAGACAAGAAACAAGUGUCAAACUUCCAAGAACUCAAUUUUCAAUCUUUCUCAAUUUUUUUACUAAAUAUUUCUUGUACACACUUGUGGGUUAAGUUUUCCAUCAUUCUUUCAAGUGUUGUAACUUUGUGUGAGAGUGCUUAAUUGUUGAUUAUCCACCUUUUAAAGGUAUCAUCUAAUUCAUCGUUAUUUUUCUCUCAUUUGUGAAGUGUUAAAUGGUUCUAUCUUACCUUUGAAAAUAUAAGGACUUGUAAGAUUAAACCUUGUCCUUAAAGGUUCAAAUCUAGUGGAUUUGAAAAAUCCUUAGUUGAGGAAAGCUAAGGUAAUGUAUGUAGACAAUUAAGGUCGAACCACUAUAAAUACUUGAGUCAUUUUAUUUUUUCCCUUUCCCGAAAACAUUUUAAUACACCAAUUCACCUCCCUCUUGGUGUAUUUCAAUCUCAACACCUCUAUUUUAGUUUUGCUCAUCAAUUUAGAAACUCACAGCCCUAAAUAAAAAAUACUAAAAAUAAAAAGAAAACUCUUCAAAAAUGCCAAACCACUUGAUUCAACCCAAAUAAAAAGAAACCCAUAAUCAUUCUAACAAAACUCAUGUAAUUUUUUGUCGAUUGAGCCCUUUUACAAUAACCCAUCAAGCGAUAGUGGAAAAAAAGAUAAAAGGACCAAUAACAUGUUGGUUCAAAGCAUUGUCGAUUGAUAUUUCUAGAUUUUGGAUUUGAAAAACUCAUCUCAAUCUUUGUUGGAAGAAGACAUAGAUGUCGACAUUGUAUUUCAAAAUUUUAGAUUUAAAAUAUCAUUGACAACAUGAUUGGAAGAAAUCACCAGUACCAACGCUAGUAAUGAUAACUACUAGAGAUAGAAGAAAAGAGAACUUUGUUUAUUUUUAGAAAAAGACAAUGGUUUUUUAUUUGUAAAAUCAAGACCUUUAUAAUAUUACAUAAAUUUUAUUUUAAAAUAUAAGUUUGUAUAUAUUUUUUUAUUUUUUUAAAAAUUAAAUAAUAAAUAAUAUAGUGUGCACAUGAACUAUCACGUCAAUAAAGUUAACUUUUCUUUUGUAUCCAUUCAUUUUGAAUACUUUGACAAACGACAUUAGUUCAAAGACUAAAAAAACAAAAUGCUUGUUAUUUUGUAAAUGUUAAAAAUUAAAUUUAUUAAAUAUUUUAUAUUUAAGAUCAAAUUGAUAAAAUGUAUAAACAUUAGAAGACUAAAACUGAUAUUAGACCAAUGAAAAAAGCCCACAUCAAACUUCUAUUAAUAUUCAAACUGAUUGUGACCAAAAUAAAAAAUAAAAGUUCAGCGACUAUUUCUCCUACCUUACCCUAUAUUUUAAAAUCAAAAGACCCAUAUAUUAAUCACAAACCAAACCAUUAUCACCCUUAGAAACUUUUAUAUUUCAAUUAAUUAGAAAAGUUUCAGAUGAAAAGCACAAGAGAUUGAAAUACCAUUCCACGAAUAAGAGUCAAUAUCCAUAAUAAUCACACUCGUUUUCACCUGAGAAGCAUCAUGGCAAUGAGAAGUCCAAAGUCCCAACAUUCCUCCCAUGUUCCAACCCUGAUCCUCCUCCUAAUCAGCCUUCUCAGGCGUUAUUUAAUAAUGAUAACGACAUACAAUGUCAGAGACGGGUAACUCGACUUAAUUCUGCAAUUUAAUUGAACCAUAAAACAACCCUAAAGGUACCUCUAGGAAGUUUUCCUAAGCAUGUGAAUUCCGGGAGUGGACGCUUAAUGUGCACGCUCCCUAAUCACCUCGAGAUCCAUUUCAGUCGGGUCGGUUGCCUGGAUUUCGUAAUGGAUGCCCUCCAAUUCCCUUCGGAACCUGUCCUU
rnacentral:lncRNA from 1 species